rnacentral:rRNA from 1 species
CACCGCGGUUAGACGUGAUGGCUCAAGAUGACUUUUUUCGGCGUAAAGGGCGGUUAAAUAUAAUACACACUAAAGCCGAAUGCUCCCUAUCGCUGUCAUAAGCCCUCACAAGCAAGAAGCCCAACAACGAAAGUAGCUUUAUCACAAUUGAAGCCGCGGAAGCUAGGAAA